AUUUCGCUUCGCUCAAACAAUUUUGGCAGAGGAAAGUCCGAACACCCUUUAAAAUUUAUUUUAAAGAAGCAAGCGAUGGAUAACGUCCAUCGGUCGCGUGGUAACACGCGAUUAGGGAAAGUGUCACAGAGACAAUACUAGCCCCGCAAUUGCGGGGUAAAAGGUGAAAAGUCUGCGAGUGUCUUUUAUGUCCCUUUGGGGCUCAUCGGACUAUCGCAGUUCGCAAUAAAGCAAUUUAUUGCUGAUGGCAAACCCCGCUUGGUGCAAGGCCGUACUUCCCGAUUUAUCGGGAUUUGUGCCGCUUGAUCCCGCAGAGUAAUUUGCGGGGCAGAUAAAUGACCGCAUAAAACAGAAUUCGGCUUACGGACGCGCAAUCGAA
rnacentral:RNase_P_RNA from 3 species